GCCCAACCAAACAUCUGACAGGGAGGGAAGAGGCGAAGCACCACCGACUUCCCAAGAUGCUGGCACUAAUAAACCGGCUUUUAGACUGGUUCAAGUCUUUAUUUUGGAAGGAAGAGAUGGAGCUGACCCUGGUCGGCCUCCAGUAUUCAGGAAAAACGACGUUCGUCAACGUAAUUGCCUCUGACGAAACCCUAAUUGGAGUGAUGGUUGAUGAGAUGAAGAGGCUGCUGAGGAAGCUGAUGUCCAAAUUUGUGCAAAUGGAUGUGAUCAGGAAAGCUGAGGAUAUCCUAGAUGUUGAUUACAGGAACAAGGAGAACUGGCAUGACACAGGCAACAUAGCAGUAUCACAUGAUGCCAGACAAUGCAUGGAGCAAGUUGAAGACUAUCUCUGAUGCCACCAAAAAGAGGUUCUUCGACAGUGUAGUCAAUUUUUACACAAGUGUUGUGACCAAAAUAAACUUGAAAAAAAAAAUGGUUGCAUUUUGUCUAAGUGGCGCGCGCACGUCAUCGGGGUUAGCAAACAGAAAUCUCCCUAUUUGCAAUUUCUACAACUUAACAGGUAUGGUUGUACUCUGGAGCGACUUAUGUGUGCAAUUAUUAACACAUUAUGAUAUCAUUUCACAUGUUAUUUUGGUGUUUAGGAGUGACACUGAAAGUUUGGUAAAUUUGUUAGCAUGUUCUUGAUGGGAGAAAUAUAAUAUAUAAUAUGACCCGGAAUGAAAUGGCACAUUGGGUUGAUUCCCUUAGUGACUGUAUCAGCCUAUUGUGAUGAAUCCCUUUUAUGACUAUAACCUUAUUUUCGCCACUUUGGCGUCCUUAUGAUGUCAUCUUCGCUACUUUGGCGUCCUUAUGAUGUAGGAUUCCCUUUGCCUUGAUGUUAUCUUCGCCACUUUGGCGUCCUUAUGAUGUAGGAUUCCCUUUGCCUUGUUUUCCUCGCCACUUUGCCAUCUUUGUUAUAUGUGAUUGCAAAACAUGUGUCACAAACACAUCUAGCGAUAUCAUUGGGCGAGUGGUCAUCAUCUGAGAAAGGAGGUUGGCCCCCUCUCGCUGACGUGAUGUACCACUAUAAAAGCUAGGAUUUUUCCUUCCCCUGUUAGUCAGCCGUGGUAGUCGUACGUAUCGCUCGGCCUGUAUUCCUCUGCAACUCUCUCGGGGUGUUGGCUCUCCGCCUGCUUGUCAACGCAGUGCCGUCUGACAGUUAUGUCGGGAGAUCCAUCAGUUUUCUGGAACGUCGCCUAGGGACUAGUAUCAACAUGAUGCUUGGAGCAGUGGUUUUGUCCGCUGGUGUGGUUAUAUCUAACCUGAGGCGCAAAACAGGAAUGCUUCAGUGUGACUUGAGACCCGACAACGACCCGGCACCCGUCCAUGGCGUUACCAACGACAACGACCCGGCGCCUCAUAGGGGAGUGUGACUGACGGUGCAGGGCCCUGGCCCAGGCUCGUGAGCCUCUUCAAACUGCGGGAGAUAUUAAUCGGCCCCCAGGGAGGGGGAACUACUUUCCGCCCGGUGCGCGUCGUCACCCGGAGGUGGGAGAUAGGGAUAAGAGUACUUGACGAAAAUCAAAUCAAUAAAAUCAAGUUUAAUCCAAAUGACUGACAGCAUAUGUUGCAUUUAAUGCCAGUUCCUACACAAGGCAUGUUGACAAUGCAUGUCAAGCAUGUAGCAGUCCAUGAGUUGGUCAAACGUUCCGAUUUGUUGGUUUCCGUCUGAGGACUUGUUCGUGAUUGCAGCUAAUGGAUCGAAAAACAAUACACAUACUAUCACUCGUUUUUUAUCCAAAUAAUGUGCGUGGCAGUCCUCUUGUGUGCAAAGUAAGGUGUUUUUAUCAUCUCUUGGGCAGAGCAGGAGAUAGUCAUGUAGGAUUUGUAAUGGGCAAAGCAAAGUUGACUCCUCUUCCAGAGCAAACAAUUCCAAGGUUGGAACUCUGUGCUGCUGUGCUUGCGGUAGAGUUAGCAGACCUAAUCUCGGAAGAGCUCGACCUCCAGCUGGAUGCCACAACCUUUUAUACAGACAGCAAAGUAGUUUUGGGCUACAUUUCCAAUGAAACCAGGCGCUUCUACGUUUACGUAAGCAACCGGGUGCUACGUAUUCGAAGGUGACAUAAAAUUGAAGCUUGGAUCAUUUUUAAUUUGAGCCUGUUGGCUGACAAAUUCUACAAAAUAGUGGAAGGGAGGAAAUGAAACAUUAUAUUCCUGCUUGUACAGUGAACCAAUUGUUGCCCACUUCUGCUGCAUAUUAAAUGGAAGUUUUUGCACAAUUGGGUGAAUGCCUCUUGCUGUGUCAAGAAAAGAGAGACCAGGCAGGUCUCCUUCUGCUCUGGCUGAUUCAAGUUCCAUCAGAAGAUCACUCAAUUUUGUUAAUUUUGAAUGAUCUCGGUUUGCUAAUUUUGGAAAGGCAUCCACUCGUUUGAAGAGAGCAUCUUCUAUUGCUUCUGCUGAGCCAUAAGUU